AACGAACGCUGGCGGCAUGCCUAACACAUGCAAGUCGAACGAGACCUUCGGGUCUAGUGGCGCACGGGUGCGUAACGCGUGGGAACCUGCCUUUAGGUUCGGAAUAACUCAGAGAAAUUUGAGCUAAUACCGGAUAAUGUCUUCGGACCAAAGAUUUAUCGCCUUUAGAUGGGCCCGCGUUGGAUUAGCUAGUUGGUGGGUAAAGGCCUACCAAGGCGACGAUCCAUAGCUGGUCUGAGAGGAUGAUCAGCCACACUGGGACUGAGACACGGCCCAGACUCCUACGGGAGGCAGCAGUGGGAAUAUUGGACAAUGGGCGAAAGCCUGAUCCAGCAAUGCCGCGUGAGUGAUGAAGGCCUUAGGGUUGUAAACUGCUUUUGUACGGAACGAAACGGUCCGCUUUAAUACAGUGGGCUAAUGACGGUACCGUAAGAAUAAGACACCGGCGUAACUACGUGCCAGCAGCCGCGGU
rnacentral:rRNA from 1 species